UAAUACGGAGGGUGCAAGCGUUAUCCGGAUUUACUGGGUUUAAAGGGUGCGCAGGCGGGAAAUUAAGUCAGUGGUGAAAGCCCCAAGCUCAACUUGGGAACUGCCAUUGAUACUGAUUUUCUUGAAUAUAGUUGAGGUAGGCGGAAUACAACAUGUAGCGGUGAAAUGCAUAGAUAUGUUGUAGAACACCGAUUGCGAAGGCAGCUUACUAAACUAUUAUUGACGCUGAGGCACGAAAGCGUGGGGAGCGAACAGGAUUAGAUACCCUGGUAGUCCACGCCCUAAACGAUGUUAACUCGAUAUUGGCGAUAUACAGUCAGUGUCUAAGCGAAAGCGUUAAGUUAACCACCUGGGGAGUACGUUCGCAAGAAUG
rnacentral:rRNA from 1 species